CCGCGGCUCCGAAACAACGGCCCGGGCGCUGCGGGCUCUGCUCUCUGCUGGGCUGGCAGGCGGCAGUCGCCCCACGCCGGGGUCCUGCGCAGCGGCGCAGCGAGGACGGCGCGCCCGGCUGGGAGCGGCGCGGGUCCGAGGGCGACGCCUGAGUCCGGCAUCCGGGCCGCCCGCACCUCUCCGUCCGCGGAGCCCCCGAGCGCUCGGCUCAGCUGCCUGCGGCCCCAGGUGAGUACGUGGUGCGAGGGGUCCACGCGGGCCGGGUCGGGCCUUGGCCUCCGGCUGCACAAGCAUCGCGGGCUGCGGGCCCCGAGCAGGCGGAGGAGUGCGGGCGGGCGAGCUCUGCUGCCCAGAGCGCCCACACUCGAGGUGCGGCGGAGGGGCCGGGCCGGGCACCGGCAGGGUGGCCCCAGCCCGGGGACCUGGUGGGGUGAGCGCGGGUUCCUCACUGGCGCGUGAUUGGAUUCGAAGAAUGAACUGGAAGGAAACGGAGGAGCUGCCCUGGCGGGGUUGCUGCCUUCCAAGGUCCCGCCGGAUGAGGAGCUGUCAGGGGACACCUGAGUCCGGAGUCGGGGCGGGGUGGGGGGCUCCCUGCCGCUCCGGGUGGGGCUACUAGCAGUGUCCACCGUCCUCUUUGUUGUGCAACGAAAUCGGUAUCGGCAACCCCAGGUCUUCCACUCGGAACCCUGCGCCUUGUCGUUGAAAGGCGGCCAGAGCGAGCAGACCCUGGAGCCCGGGUCCUCGCAGAGAGGCGCCCGACUGGGAGGCAGCAGCGCCUGGCUGCGCUGAGGGAAGGCCUGGUGCACUGCAGUGGCGGCGGUGCCUGGGCCUUGCACCUUUGGGCCUCUGCAGCUUGCCGGAGUGCUUGCCGAGAUUCCAGCCCCUCUGCCGUCCCCAGAGCUCCAGGGCCGGGUCUGCAGCACGCUGACUUUGGAAGCCAGGACUUGCUGCGGACUGUUGCUUCUGCUCUUUUCUGCCCUCGGUGAGUGUGGCUGGGGUCAGGGGAGCCCAUCUCUGCCUCCUUUCCAGGGCCUGUGGUCCCACACUCCUCCCAUGCGGACUCUGGGUCCCCUUGGCCUCAGCAUCCAUGGGCAGGCUCUGGUGCUCUUGGUUGGGAGUUCCCAGAGCAGACUGCCAGCAGGGAGAGGGCAUUGCUACAGUGCCCAGCUGGCCCGGGGGUGUAGGGUGCUGCAGUCCUGCCUGACCUCAGGCCAGAGUGGGCUCAAGGUCACACCUGCACCUGGGCACCCAGGUGCCUGAGAGCCGACCUGUGGCCUCAGCGGGGUUUGGUGUGAAGGGAGGCAGCUUCCGAGGAGCUGAGGUCUGUCACCCAGGGAGGGGCUCUGCCCUUCCCCCCAGCCCAGCCCAGCCCUCCUGACUGCUCCCUCCGGACACGCCAAGGCUAGGGAGGCCCAGCCUUCUUCCCAGGCCUCUUCCAGCCCCUGCCUAGGCUCAGGAGGGCCCCGUGGGCUCUGGCCAGGUGAGGGGGCGACAGCCAUCCGUCUUGUGCUGACCUCCGAGAUGUGGGGAGCAGGCCAGGCCUUGGUGUCUCUUCCUGCCCUCUGCCAGGGCAGCUGGAGUGGGAGGGGACACUGCGGCUGCUGGCCUGCCUGGGGAGGGGAUCAGAGGCCAAGGCUGAGCUGUGAGGUCCCCACCUGCUGCCACAGCUCCGGUAGGGCAGGGUGUCCCCAGCCUGCCGUGGGGCCGAGCAGGCCACCCUCAAGGCCAUGGCCCUGGCGAGGCUGGGUCCUGCACUGGCCAGGCCCUGCCCCCGCGUGGCCAGGCUUAGAAGUGGAGAGCAGGUCAAACACCAAGGAGCCUCAGAGCGAAAAGGUGACACCGGGAAAGCCACCCGCCCAGCACAGGAGGCCAUCUGUGUCCCUGCCUGGCAGAGGCUUUGAGGGGACUUCAGGGAAUGAGCAGGGCAAAUGUGCCCUGAAGGAGAGAGGCAGCUGCUAAGAGCUCCAAGGUAGCUUUCAGACCAACUCAGGCUCUAGGGCGUCCAGACUGACAGUGACCUCAGACCCCUCGCUGUGGGUGGAAGUGCUGACCCCCAGUGACGUCCCCCAGCAGGCAGUGAGGUGAGGGCAGCUGGCCAGCAGCUCCCGCAGGACAGAGGGCCAGCGGCACAGGAGGGAGAAGGAUUUUCACGGGAAGGAGAGGGAAGCCAGACUGAGACCACUCCCCCAAGAAGGUGGCUGGGGAGAAAAGCAGCUCAGAGAGGACAGUGGGUGAGGGGCUCCUAGCCCCAGAGGUUCCCCAGGAAGCCCAGUACUCCCAGUUCGCACACCCACUCUGGGAGACAGGGGCCCUUCCCUAGGUCUGAGCUGCUAGGCGGCCCCUCCCAGCCCUGCGGCUGUGGGGAAUGGAAGCCCUGCUGGCCAGAGGUGCUGACCAGGUUCUUGCCUUUCCCUCCCUUUCCUCUGUGCCCCUUAAAUUCAGUCAGUCCUUGGGCACUCAGCACCCUUGGGGAGGGGGCUCUGUGGGAUUUCUGGUCAAGUUUUGCUCAUCCGCUGCUGGUUCCUAUCUCGGUAGCAGAGUCUGCAGAGGAACUUUCCCCAGAGCUCUGGGAUGGCUGCACAGGGGUCCCCUGAGGAACCCAGCUCAACCCCUACACAGACGCUGUACCCCACUGAGGCGAGAUGAGGGGAUCCAUCUAGGGGGCACCCUCCAGCCCCACUUUUGGUAGAAAUGAGCCCCAGAUUUCACCCAGAGGCUGGAAGGGGCCCCGGAAGAGCUGAUGUGGUCCCCACUGCACAGAGGCGAAAACUGUGGCAGUCUGUGGGUCAGAGCCUCCCUGGCCUCCUCUUGGGUCUGAAAUGGUUGGGGUGGGGCUUGGACCCCCCAAAGGGCCAUUUCCUCCUACCCAGGCCUCUGAGACUGCGCGGUGGCGGCUUCCCCAGCGAAAGCCUCACCUGCCCCGGGCGCCCCACACCCGCUUUGCCCCCUUUCCCUCCCUCGGAACUGAGCUUCCUUCCAGGAAGGACGUGGGUCCUAAUUUCGGGUCCCAGUUGGGCCCUCCUAGUGCUCGGGAGUGGGUGCCGGGAGAGGCCGAUCAGGGAGCACCCAGUCCGGACUUCCCGCAAUGGAGCCCAGAGGCCGAUUUCCAGCAGACCUCACACGUGCUCUGCUCAGAAGCCCAGCUGUCCCCGCUGGGGCCGGGCUGCUGUGGCUGCCUGGUGUUGUCAGAUGCGUAGGGUGUGCCGGGCUUGGGUGCUGCCAAGUGCUCUCAGAGGGUCCCGAGGGCAGGUGGCUCUAUUCGGUUUGUUUGCGUUUGUUUUAAGAGUUGGAGGCUGCAGACUGGACCCCUUUUCCUCUCCCAUGGGUCCAGGCGGGACCAGCUCCCAGAGCGCGGGGAGCUCAGAGGAGGCUCCGAGCUGCCUGCCUGCGGCAUCCUGCACGGAGCAGUCAACGGAAUCCGUUUCCCACACUUUCCCUCUCCGUCCCAGGACUGUUAAAUAUUCGCCAACAAAUCCUGUCGUUGCGCUGGCACUGCGUGUGCUCUCCUGCCACAGGCUCGCUCCACGCCCCACCGUGUCCAGCUGGGGAGACCCUUGCCUGGUCUCCGUCCGCCCGUGUCACUGUCACGGGGCACCGAGGAACUCCACAGGCCACAGCGCCCUGUGUGCACCUGGCUCGGAGGCCCACAGCCGCGCCACCGGAUGGCUGCCCUCCUAGAUGCACCCACUGCCUCCCCUUCCUGCGCCCCGCUCGGGCAAGGCCCUGACAGCAACGAAAACUGGGAGCAGAAGCGCUGGCUCGCACGGCCAGGCAGCCUGGACCGAGGAGCCACAGGGUGGGAGCAGACUCCAAAUCAGCGCCCGCGGAAUCCACAUCUCCUGUUGGGCUCUGGACCAUGAACUGGUUUGGAAAUCAAAAUUGUCUCUGUGGCUCAGUACCCUGCAGGUGUCACCAUGCAGAAGGGUCCCCUUCGGCGACCUGGGGCCAGGUGCCUGGCCCUGUAGAGAUCCUUGGGGUUGGCAGGAGAGACCCGAGGGUAGAAAUGCCAGGCUUUGGCGGGGCAGAGGGAGUGCCUGGACAAGGUCUCUAGGUGCCCAGGACCACUCUCUGCCCACCUUGUCCUUUCCCGGUCGCUCUGGGCUCCCUCCCCCUUGACUUCUGGAGCUCUCCUCUCCCCGCCGCCCAGACGACCCGGCCAGUCCCUCUCCCCAAACCCCAGCUGGGUGUGCGAGUCUUGUGCUGUUCUCAGAGUAUCACUGGGGCCCAGGGUACCCAGAAAUGUAGCAUAAGGAGCUCCGACUCUCAGGGUACACCUCACCUCAGCAGCCUCCUCCUCCUGCCUCCAGACUAGGUCUUCCCCGGCAGUGCCAGAGACUGGCCAGUCCUGGGGUGUCUGCUGUCCCUCUAGGGAGGGAGAGGGCUCAGCCUGCACAGGACCCCAAAGGGGCUCCCAAGCAGGCCCUCUCCUCCUCUGCUUUCUAGGAAACCCGUCACUGCUUUAUGUUGGUGGAGAGGGCUUCCUGAGCAGGCAGGAAAAGGCCAGAGACCAGAAGGGCUCAGGCAGGAAAAACAUUACUAGUUCUGCAGAGUGACCCCAGGGUGAUGGGAUGGGUCCCUGUGUCCUCCGGGAACAACCCCCCUCCUCCCCAGGAGGGCGGGGCACCCAUGCCCCAGGCUCUACCACCUGCACUCACCGGAAUCCUUCCCUCCAGCGUCCCGCACCGCGCCUGGCACAGAGGCCCCCAACCAGGGAAGGGACACAUCCGCCUCUAACCUGACAGGGUCUCUAAGUCACUAAAUUCCCCAGGCUGUGUUCAAAGGGAAUCCUCCUGCCUCAGCCUUCUAGCAUGCUGAGAUUACAGAGCUCUGACACCUGGCCCGAGCCAGCCAGUGAGUGCAGAGCCCCUGGAGUGGUGUCCUAGGAGCUCCUGGAAGACCAGAGGACUGAGGCUGAGCCCCCUGCCUGUCUAUCCCAGCUCCCACGUGGCAUUCAGCAAGUGGGUGCCAGCAGCAUGUGACCGGAACAUUGAAGGGAACCAGCCACCAGAGCCCUGCUGUGACAGCACAGGGAUUUAGGAAGGAAAUGGACUUGCUGCGGGGCCCUCCAUGCACAGGACAUGGGGUUCGGUGGAGAGCCCUCAAGCUCUGUGAAAUCUGUUCUGGAGGGUUCAGGCUCCCUGAAACCUGGGCACUGCUGGGCCCUGCAGGGCCUGGGUGUCGCCUGGCUCCCUCCCACCCCUGGAUCUCAACAUUGUGCCCCGUGAAGCUCACAGUGACCCCUGUGGCAGGUGCUGAGAGGGUUCCACUGAGGCUCAGGGGCACGAGCCUAUCAGGCACAGGGACCUGUCUCAGGCAGCCACAGCAGGACUCACAUGAGGCACUGCCGACACACCUUUAUCCCAGGGUAUUGGCUUUCAGGGUGACAGAGGUGUGACCAGGGAGGGAGCCCUGGCCUAGGGUUUCCUUGCAGCCCCCCCCCCCUUGCCCCAUGAGGUCAGAGGUGGUGCUGGCCUCUUGGUCACCUGCGUGCAUGCCUGGGCCCAGGAGGGUUAGGCCAUGCGGGGUCCGUGCUUCCUGAACCCACCUCUUGCUGGGGAGCCCCCCUUGCCCACACCCUGAGGCACUGAGCCGGGGCUGCCUGGGUCCGAUGGGGCCCACACCUCAGCCAGCGGCCUUGGGCUCGCUUGGGGACUAACACACGGAGCAGGUCACGCUCGGUCUCUGCACCUCUAAUGAGGUAUUUCCAAUCAUGAAGGUGCGUUUGAAGAAAUAGGAAUCCGUUAAGUGUGCGGGAGCCAGGCCCGCGUGGAACCUGGUGGUUCUAACGAGUGCCAGCGCCAGCUUCCACAUUGGAGAAAUAACAGUUUCUCAUAGAAAUGUGGCAUUUUUAAAGGAGGUUAAUUAAUAAACAGCAGGUAAUUGUUCGUGGCACAUUGUGGCAGAGGGUAAUUUUCAUUUUAGAGGAUGGAAGGGCCAAAUGCCCCUCCCCACUCAGCAUUUUUCUGUAAUAAUCACCUUGGCUUCCCCUCCGCCUUUAAUUUUUACAGCUGGAGCUGUUUAUCAUCACUCCAACUUUCACUAAAAAGGCAAAACUAUCACUUAAACAAAGCCAUUGAAAACUCAGCAUCAUCUGUGGAUUUCUUAACAUAAAUAAAUCAUACAAACCAAGAUUUAUGUUCUGGGGAUGAUGUCAUUCAUUGAAGGCUGCCUUCCCAAU
ensembl:lncRNA